UACGGGGGGAGCAAGCGUUGUUCGGAUUUACUGGGCGUAAAGGGCGCGUAGGCGGCGCAACAAGUCACUUGUGAAAUCUCCGGGCUUAACUCGGAGCGGUCAAGUGAUACUGUCGUGCUAGAGUGCGGAAGGGGCUACUGGAAUUCUCGGUGUAGCGGUGAAAUGCGUAGAUAUCGAGAGGAACACCUGCGGCGAAGGCGGGUAGCUGGGCCGACACUGACGCUGAUGCGCGAAAGCCAGGGGAGCGAACGGG
rnacentral:rRNA from 1 species